rnacentral:lncRNA from 1 species
GGAUUCAGUUAGAAGUAGGUGCUCUGUUUUGUGGAAUCUCGAUGUUGCAAUUGUUGCUUCUGAUGAAGAUAGUUGGCCUUCUUUCUCUCAGUGUAAGGAAUGCAUAUAUCAUUAACAUUGGUGUAUUGACAUAUUAUUUUUCUCAAAGAAUGUAUUUGUUGGUGACUGUGGCUGUUCAUUUUUAAAUGUGGGAUAUGCAGAAUAUAAUGACUCUAUUUUCAGAUACAGGCUG